GUUUCGUAGGUGACCUGCGGAGGAUCAUUA
rnacentral:rRNA from 1 species